rnacentral:rRNA from 1 species
GGAUUAGGCAUGCAAGUCGAGCGAGAAAGCCCCUUCGGGGGUGAGUACAGCGGCGAAAGGGUGAGUAAUACAUGGAUAACCUGCCCUCGAGACCGGAAUAACUAUCCCAACGGGUAGCUAAUGCCGGAUGGCGCCACGGAAUCGCAUGGUUCUGUGGCUAAAGGUGGUUCGCUGCCACUCGAGGAGGGGUCCAUGUCCUAUUAGCUUGUUGGUGAGGUAACGGCUCACCAAGGCUCUGAUGGGUAGCCGGACUGAGAGGUUGGCCGGUCACACUGGAACUGAGACACUGUCCAGACUCCUGCGGGAGGCUGCAGUCGAGAAUCUUCCGCAAUGGGCGAAAGCCUGACGGAGCGACGCCGCGUGGAGGAUGAAGGCCCUUGGGUCGUAAACUCCUGUCAGGGGUUAGGAAAUCCGAUGCGGUUAAUACCCGUGUCGGUUGACAAAGGCCCCAGAGGAAGCACUGGCUAACUACGUGCCAGCAGCCGCGGUAAGACGUAGAGUGCAAACGUUGUUCGGAAUCACUGGGCAUAAAGGGCCCGUAGGUGGCGCGGGAAGUCGGUUGUGAAAGCCCCUGGCUCAACCAGGGAAUUGCGGCCGAAACUUCCGUGCUUGAGUGUGAGAUGGGAGAGUGGAACUUCCAGUGGAGCGGUGAAAUGCGUAGAUAUUGGAAGGAACGUCGGCGGCGAAAGCGACUCUCUGGCUCACUACUGACACUGAGGGGCGAAAGCCAGGGUAGCGAACGGGAUUAGAUACCCCGGUAGUCCUGGCCCGUAAACGAUGGGCACUAAGUAGAGGGGUUUU